AUUGAACGCUGGCGGCAGGCCUAACACAUGCAAGUCGAACGAGUGGCGGACGGGUGAGUAAUGUCUGGGAAACUGCCCGAUGGAGGGGGAUAACUACUGGAAACGGUAGCUAAUACCGCAUACCAUCGGAUGUGCCCAGAUGGGAUUAGCUUGUAGGUGAGGUAACGGCUCACCUAGGCGACGAUCCCUAGCUGGUCUGAGGGGAUGACCAGCCACACGGGAACUGAGCCACGGUCCAGACUCCUAGGGGAGGAGGGAGGGGGGAAUUUUGCACAAUGGGCGAAAGCCUGAUGGAGCAAUGCCGCGGGUAUGAAGAAGGCCUUCGGGUUGUAAAGUACUUUCAGCGGGGAGGCGUUACCCGCAGAAAAAGCACCGGCUACCCCCGUGCCAGCAGCCGCGGUAAUUC
rnacentral:rRNA from 1 species